AACGAACGCUGGCGGCGUGCCUAACACAUGCAAGUCGAGCGCGAAUGGAGCAAUCCUAGUAGAGCGGCGCACGGGUGCGUAACACGUGGGUAAUCUGCCUGGAAGACUGGAAUAACCUGCCGAAAGGCUGGCUAAUACCAGAUAAGCUUACGGAGACUUCGGUCUCUGCAAGAAAAGGUGGCCUCUGUAUACAAGCUAUCACUUCCAGAUGAGCCCGCGGCCCAUCAGCUAGUUGGCGGGGUAACGGCCCACCAAGGCAACGACGGGUAGCUGGUCUGAGAGGACGAUCAGCCACACUGGAACUGAGACACGGUCCAGACUCCUACGGGAGGCAGCAGUGGGGAAUUUUGCACAAUGGGCGAAAGCCUGAUGCAGCAACGCCGCGUGUGCGAUGAAGGUUUUCGGAUCGUAAAGCACUUUCGACCGGGACGAACACCCCUUGGCUAAUAUCCAAGGGCCUGACGGUACCGGGAGAAGAAGCACCGGCUAACUCUGUGC
rnacentral:rRNA from 1 species